CCUACGGGAGGCAGCAGUGGGGAAUCUUGCGCAAUGGGCGAAAGCCUGACGCAGCCAUGCCGCGUGAAUGAUGAAGGUCUUAGGAUUGUAAAAUUCUUUCACCGGGGACGAUAAUGACGGUACCCGGAGAAGAAGCCCCGGCUAACUUCGUGCCAGCAGCCGCGGUAAUACGAAGGGGGCUAGCGUUGCUCGGAAUUACUGGGCGUAAAGGGAGCGUAGGCGGAUAGUUUAGUCAGAGGUGAAAGCCCAGGGCUCAACCUUGGAAUUGCCUUUGAUACUGGCUAUCUUGAGUACGGAAGAGGUAUGUGGAACUCCGAGUGUAGAGGUGAAAUUCGUAGAUAUUCGGAAGAACACCAGUGGCGAAGGCGACAUACUGGUCCGUUACUGACGCUGAGGCUCGAAAGCGUGGGGAGCAAACAGGAUUAGAUACCCUGGUAGUCCACGCUGUAAACGAUGAGUGCUAGUUGUCGGCAUGCAUGCAUGUCGGUGACGCAGACUACGACAUUAAGUACACUCCGCCGUCGGGGUAGGUACGGUCGCGAAGAAGUUAAACUUACAAUAGUAAGUUAGACGGUCGUGAGACGUGCCGACGGACGACGACGAGGGAGGUUAGG
rnacentral:rRNA from 1 species